AUGAUGAUCUUAAAAUUCCACUUUUCAACAGAUACAGACUAUGGACAACCUAGAAGGAAAACCAGCCCCCGUUUUUUGCUUCUGCAAGCAAACAUGACCUAUGAAGAUGAAUUUCUCCCUUUCUCCUCCGACCUAUGCUACCAUGCUCUUAUGGUGAUAUCCACUGCCAAGGUCUCUGUGCCUGGGAUCCUGGAUGGAAGCACCAUGGCACUGCCUGCAGUGUUCACAGCUGAUCCAUUUUCCGCCACAACCCCCUAUUUCUCCUGGCCUUCCCUGUCCCCUCUACAGGUACUGCUGUCUCCCCUGGUGUUGCCACUGUCCUUGCUGGGCACUCUUGCUGUUCCAUGCUACUGAUGCUCCAAGAUUUAAGAGGCCAGAGCUUCUACCCGGUGAAAUGGGAAAGCAGUCUUCCACGCUCUGUUAGAGGGGUUUUUAGUACCAUAUCUUUUUUGUUUUUUACUUAAAGACCCCCUCCACUGGGUGAAAUCUGAGUAAGAAUUACUAUGCUGAGUGUAGAUUUGUUCUUUCAUUCUUUGAUAUCCCAGACUCUGGGGCUAGACCAAGCUGGAAUGAAUUCUCUCCCAGGAAGCUCCUGUUCCUCAUGCAAACAGACCCAUCAUCUAUCAGACAUGCCUAGGUCUCACAAUGUAGAGUCACAGUGGGAUUUCUGCUGCUCACACAAACACACAUAUGCAUUCAUACAUAAAUGUACACACACACAUGUGCCUAUAAAGUGCUUUCAUUUCCAUAUAAAGAUGAUGCUUCUUUAAUGGGAACAAAAUAUUGUGACUAUAAAAGAAUGACAAAUAAUGAUCCACAAAUAUAUUCAGCAUUCUACUUAUCUUUCCCCAAGAAGUACAUAGGCUGGAUUUCAGAAAUAACUUGGGAGUUGACAGACAAAAAAUUUUGAAGAACCAGCUGCCAUCUGUGUGAAGUACUUUGAGAAUGACAGAAAUGGGUGAGGAGGAAAGAGUGGACAUUUAAGAAUGCUUGCUAUGCAGUAAGUAUAAACCUCCCCAUUUCUUGGGCAUUUUCUUGAGAUACUGUGUAAAUAUUUGAAAUUCUUAAAUUACAUAUACAAUUUAAAUACUGAUAUACAUUUCUCCCAAUUCCUGUGUUUACAUUUUUUAGACACUGGGCCGUGGCGGGGGGGGGGGGGGGGGGGGGGUGAGAUCCCUUAUAUCUGAGUUACACUACUGAUACUAUAAAGCACUAGCUGUAGAAUUGUGCCUUGAGUAUUUUUUUAAGGGAGGAAUACAUUUGCAUGAGUCCAAACUAUCCUAUUUUUUUCUCUGAAAUACUAUCACAUGUUGAUGAGACUUAUAGCCACAGAUAAGAGAAACGUCUAGAGUCUGUGAGGCAAUAAAAGCUAACUUGCCCAUAAAAUGAUUUAACUU
rnacentral:lncRNA from 1 species